CUACUAUUAAGUAACUUGGUGUAUUAAUGUGAACAUAGGCCAGAAAUCCAAAUUUUAGACAUUUCCACACUUGGGAGAACAGUUAGAGCACCAACAACUGUGUGAAGAGAGAGGGAAAAAUGCAAGAGUGAAGAAUACAAUUGAAAACCUCACUUGAAGGGAGCACGGGCAUCAGAAUGAAGGAUGAAAAAAAAAAACACGAUUGAGAGAAAGGUAUCCUCACAUUUGUCCACAAAAUGUUGGCUUUUUAACUCUAUCAUCUUCUUGCCUUCAUUUUUCUUCUAAUUUACCUAGGUGGGGAGUGGAGGAGGUAAUGGACUGAUACCAGGAAGACAGCUGAAGCAUUUAAAGGUGUCUAAGACAUGAUUUCAUUGAUUUUUAGAUCAUGAAAUUCACUCUUCCACAGAAGCUACUUAACAUCCUAAAUAUAUUAGUACACAGUAAUGAAAACAUAUGGUAAUUCCCAAAGAGCAAAGUUAAUGGACUCUGUCCCAUUUGUUAAAACAGCAGACGGCAAAGAAAUCUGUGUGUCUUGUUUCAGAGAAUGUAAAUGCAGCUGCUGAAAGGACUGUUUUCCCAUAAAGCUAAGGUGGAAAAUAAAUGUGAGGAGGACGCUUUGAGGAUAUAUUAGAUACUUGAAGCAGCCCGAAAACUUAUCAAGUACUUUUAACGUCCAUGGCUGGUCUAGCUGUCUGGGUAGACUCUUCACUGCUCAUUGCACAUCCCUCUCAACAUUACAUCCUAAAUGAAAUGAACAACAGUGUCGUUUGCUCAUAGGCUAAGAAGUUGCUCCUCUUCUCUGGUAUAAUCAAUCCCUCACUCCAGGCAAGUAUAAUUACUGAUUUUUUGUUAUUGUUCCAUUUUAUUUUGAGUUCUCUGUAAGUAUGAACAGAGUCAAAAGGGUUGCCUUCCCUUUCUCCAUUCCCUAUUAGUAGAGGCUUCUGCCAACGAAAGGUUGCUAAUAGUUUAGCAGUUAUAUAUGAGUAAGCUUUGAAAUUCGGUAUCAUUCACUAAGCUGAUUAUUAUGCUAUCUAAGUCAUUGGUUAAGUGUACGACAUGACAGGGCUAGAAAAAUAUUAAGGCUUAUUCUAUUGUUACACCAACUUGUCAAUUAAUGGCUUUUUGGUAAUAGCUUGGCCUACUAAUUAAGAGCAAAGGACUUGGGAUCAAAACUGGAUUUAAAUUCUGGACCUGUCAUUUGCCAGGUAGGUGACCUUGACCGAUUUCCUCAUCUGUAAAAUGAGGAUUAUGACAGUGCCAUUUUCAUAGCACAGGUCAGAAGGCAAGACAUAUGAGGCAUUUAGCCUGCUGCUUGCCACUGUAAAAGUCAUUGUUUACUAUUAUUAAUGGUAACAUAAUUUACAUUAACAUAAAAAUAUCAGUUCCAUAAUUUACUAUAUAUAUUAUCACAAUUUUAACUGGUCCUAUAAGUCUCAGUUUUAUUCACAAGGUUAUCAUUUAACACAUGGUUUAGCGUCUUGUUGAAAUUCAAAUAUAUUACUGUACGUAACACAUUAAAUACAUAUAUACCCCAGGAAUGUACAAAUGUGUAUAUGAAUUUUUCCUAC